UAUGUCUUGAAUUUAAGAAUCCAUCAACUCUAAUUUGUGCUAUCCAUUUACUUCUAGGCAUUGGGCCACCCGCUGCACCAGAAAACUGACUCUUUCUUCCCCAGAAGCCAUCAUGAAGCUCUCCUCCUGUCUUGUUGCCUUCUGGACUGACUUGCUCUUAUGCGAGUCUUGUGCAGCUUCUGUAGAGGAGAUUUAGUUCUCUGAACCCUCCGAUCCUGAAUACCAGAAACCUACAGCUUCUAAUUAGCUUCACAACUGGAAUACAGGCAUGCCAUUUGCAUUUGGAGUUUGAGAACCAAGGGCCAUUAGUGAUUCAGCAGGAGCCAAUAAGGGUUGCUUUCUGUAGCAUCGUUGUAGAGUGUGGAAAAUGGGAUGCCGGAAUUCACUUUUUCAACAGACUUAAGACGAUGCUGUACUUGGAAGUUGCCCUCUGGAAUGGAAGGACCAUGAUGACAUCUGACCAGGACUCCAUGUCAGCUUCCCUUGGAGACACCUGCUCAGGUGUACCGGGGCCUCAGAAGCAACGCUGCUAGGACAUCUCACAAACCCAAGGACAAGAUUCCCAUUCUUUGACACUCUGCUUGUAGCACACUCAAGAGUCCCAACCUAUCAGGAACAGCGAUGUGCCAUUGGGGGGACUUCCCUGAUUUAUCUGGGAAUGAGGGAGGGAAGAAGGUCUUGAGCCAUGGUCUCAGUUUCCCAAGAGAACUGUGAGGUUUCUUGUUUGCAUGUUUGUUUGUAAGGAAAGUGGGUGAGGCCCACCGUAGGGCUGCUUCGAGUCUGUGGAUCUGAAUAACGUGGAUAGAGAUGAGUCUCUUAGUAGAAGAGAGAGUGUUGGGGAAGUCCUGUGUCAAUAAAGCACUGCUGGCCAAUAGGAAUCUAGAUAGGUGGGACUAGGAGUCCAGGAGAACUCUGGGAAGGAGAA